GCCGACGUGGUGGAACUGGUAGACACGCCAGACUUAGGAUCUGGUACCUCACGGUGUCCGGGUUCGAGUCCCGGCGUUGGCA
rnacentral:tRNA from 1 species